UCCGGUUUGGCACCGGCAGUCUCCAAUGAGUCCCCGGCAUAACCCGCUGGCAACUGGAGGCAAGGGUUGCGCUCGUUGCGGGACUUAACCCAACACCUCACGGCACGAGCUGACGACAGCCAUGCAGCACCUGUGCUAGCCCCUUACGGACACGGGCUUUCACCCGCUUUAACUAGCAUGUCAAGCCUAGGUAAGGUUCUUCGCGUUGCAUCGAAUUAAGCCACAUGCUCCGCCGCUUGUGCGGGCCCCCGUCAAUUCCUUUGAGUUUCAGCCUUGCGGCCGUACUCCCCAGGCGGGGCACUUACUGCGUUAGCGACGGCACCGGGAGGGUCGCUCCCCCCGACGCCUAGUGCCCAUCGUUUACGGCGUGGACUAC
rnacentral:misc_RNA from 1 species